UCGAGAAUCAUUCACAAUGGGCGAAAGCCUGAUGGUGUGACGCCGCGUGGAGGAUGAAGGUCUUCGGAUUGUAAACUCCUGUCAUGUGAGAGUAAAGCCGGACGUUAACUGCGUGCCGGUCUGAGAGUAUCACAAGAGGAAGAGACGGCUAACUCUGUGCCAGCAGCCGCGGUAAUACAGAGGUCUCAAGCGUUGUUCGGAAUCACUGGGCGUAAAGGGUGCGUAGGCCGCACGGUAAGUCAGGUGUGAAAGCCCGGAGCUCAACUCCGGAAUUGCACCCGAUACUGCCAUGCUUGAGGACUGGAGAGGAGUCUGGAAUUCACAGUGGAGCAGUGAAAUGCGUAGAUAUUGUGAGGAACACUAGUGGCGAAGGCGAGACUCUGGACAGUUCCUGACGCUGAGGCACGAAGGCCAGGGGAGCAAACGG
rnacentral:rRNA from 1 species